rnacentral:rRNA from 1 species
GGGAACGUACCCUUCGGUUCGGAAUAACUCAGGGAAACUUGAGCUAAUACCGGAUACGCCCUUUUGGGGAAAGGUUUACUGCCGAAGGAUCGGCCCGCGUCUGAUUAGCUUGUUGGUGGGGUAACGGCCUACCAAGGCGACGAUCAGUAGCUGGUCUGAGAGGAUGAUCAGCCACACUGGGACUGAGACACGGCCCAGACUCCUACGGGAGGCAGCAGUGGGGAAUAUUGGACAAUGGGCGCAAGCCUGAUCCAGCCAUGCCGCGUGAGUGAUGAAGGCCUUAGGGUUGUGAAGCUCUUUUGUCCGGGACGAUAAUGACGGUACCGGAAGAAUAAGCCCCGGCUAACUUCGUGCCAGCAGCCGCGGUAAUACGAAGGGGGCUAGCGUUGCUCGGAAUCACUGGGCGUAAAGGGCGCGUAGGCGGCCGAUUAAGUCGGGGGUGAAAGCCUGUGGCUCAACCACAGAAUUGCCUUCGAUACUGAUUGGCUUGAGACCGGAAGAGGACAGCGGAACUGCGAGU